ACUACGCUUUGUUUACUGAGGUAUGAUUAUUACACCUGAUGGGAUCCUAUCAUUUAUUCCUUCAGGGAGCAUUUGGGAAGCCUCAGGAUGAAUAUUUCAGUGCUAGACAUAGGAAGAUCAGCCACCAUCUGCGCCUUCAGUUAACGCAGGCACCCACAUGGCCCUAACACUUCAAGGAGCGUAGCAGUUGAAGGCUGUACAGAGGUGUCAUGCAGUGGCAAAGGCAGGUUGAUGUUGGAAAGCCAGUCGGCCAACAUUAAACAGGUGGAAAAGCUCCUUGGAUGACUCUGUGAAGAUCUCACAGUGGCGGGAAGUCGACACUCUAUGGUAAACCCACAUGGGCCAGAGAUCUUCAUUGACUUAAACAUCCACUGGCUCUUCCCUGCGUGCCGGGACUCACAACAGAGACAGAGCAGGUGUGGGUCCAUUCAACUCUGUGUGUCCCUCACUUACGGGGCGCUUGGGCAGAGGUUGGCCUGUGAUCAUAACCAGGAAGAGAGGAUUCUUCUUUGGGUUGGAUGAGUAAUAAACGAACUUGCAGGCCUGCU
rnacentral:lncRNA from 1 species